GAAAUUGAUCUCCCCGUGAAGAAGCGGGGAUAUAAAUAUAAGACGAGAAGACCCCAUGGAGCUUUAAACCCAACAACACCUAUCUAUUUUAUUCCCCCAUAUUUAUACGGUUAUGUUUGUUUGGUUUUAGGUUGGGGUGACCGCGGAGUAUAAAACAACCUCCACGAAGAAAAGACUAAUAAUCUUUAUCAGAGAAAGACAUUUCUAAGAAACAAUAUAUUAACUUUAAAUGAUCCGAUAUUCGAUUAACGAAUCAAGUUACCCUGGGGAUAACAGCGCAAUCCACCUUAAGAGCCCUUAUCGACAGGUGGGUUUACGACCUCGAUGUUGGAUCAGGGUAUCACAGUGGUGCAGCAGCUACUAAUGGUUCGUUUGUUCAACGAUUAAAACCCU
rnacentral:rRNA from 1 species